GCACCUGUCAUCUUUGAAAUGUACUUUUUGACGUAUUGGAAGAAUUCUUUUCAAUUUCAAAAAAAGUAGGUAAAUAAAAAUUUUUGUGAAAAGAAAAAUGUCGGUAUCAAAAUGAAAUCAUGCUGAAAAAAGAUGCAAAUUUUUUAUCACAUGGAAUUUGUCUUGGAAUGAAUGCAGAUUUGCAACCUGGACAGACGCCCCCAUUUAUAUCCAUAACUCUAGUGCCACGAUGCAUGAACAACAGCAUCUAAAACAGCAACAUCAACAACAGCUACAGCAUCAUCAACUACAAAACUGCUGACUCCUGAUAUGAUGCGCCAGUCCAUUUUUUCAUAAAUCUCGGCUGCAGAAAUCAAUUCGAGGACAAGCACAAGAUGCAAAUAUAUCACAUGGAAUGAAUGAAAAAAAUAAUGGACACAGAGCCUCCGCCAAAAGUACAAAUAUUGUCUGGAUCAAUUGGAACAAUCGCCUAUACAGCCAGGACAACAAAUGUCCGGAAUGGGAUCUAACGUAAAAUUAAGUUCCUACGGAAUACUUCCAACAUCUUGAUCACACUUGCCAACGUGUGGAUAAUGUGAAUCGUGACAAUCGUAAACAGUUGGAAUGAUUUGGGAGCGAGAAAUGCUGAAUAUUUUGGGUAACUUUGUCAAUCGAGCUUUGGUGUUCUGUGAAAAGAACUACGACUCGACCAUUCCACCGAUGACUGACCAAAGACGAACACACAAUCAUCGGUUUGUGUUUUAACAUUGCUUGUUUGUUGGCGAGUCUGCUAUUCCCUUACAUAUCAACAACAGCAAGGACCAUUGGCAAGCAUUCUGCUUCCAGCUGGUCACAAAAUUGGAAAGCCAGCACCUUUGUUUGCCAAAAUCGAACAGGCUCGUAUUGAUGAACUCAAAAAGAAGUACGCUGGUCCCCCGGUUGUGAGAUCGACUUCUGGUGGUGCUUUGAAACAAAGCAAAGCAGUUUGGCAGCCUGAAGUCAAUAUUCUGUUGGAUCUUAAAAAAUAACUUGUCACUGCACAUCUCAAGCACCCGCAGAAACAAAAACUCCAACUGUGACUCCUACUCCCGCAAAUGAUGACAACAAAAUUAAAGAACUUGAAGAAAAAAUUGCAAAACAGGGUGAAAAAGUUCGAGAACUAAAGAGUUCAUCUGAUGCUGCCGUUUGGAAGCCUGAAGUUGAAGUUCUCAAGAAGGAUCUUUCUGCCAUUACUGGUGUAACAGAAUUACCAGCUUCAGGAAAGAACAAGAAGAAAUGAUAUCCGGUUAUUGGUUUUAUUUCAACACUUUACGCCCCAAGAUAUUGAGUACUGGUUUUUUCUACCUUUUUGUUUUAUUCUCUUCUCUUUUUUUAUUUUGUUGUUUAAUUCGAUUGCUCCAAUAAUUUAUUUGUUUUUUUUUUUUCUUUAAAUUAUUUUUUCUUUUUUUUUAAUUUUCAUAAAAAAGACAUAUUACAUGAAUUACUUGUUGGCAUUUAUUGUGAAAAAAUAAAAGUGAGAAUUAAUGUA